GUUUUUGGUUUCGCUUUCGGGUAGAGCUAAAAAGUACAAAUAGGUCAAUGUCGGUAUGAUUUUCGUAUGCGUUCUU
rnacentral:sRNA from 1 species